UACGUAGGGGGCAAGCGUUGUCCGGAAUUAUUGGGCGUAAAGAGCGCGUAGGCGGUCCGAUAAGUCGGCUGUGAAAGUCAGGGGCUCAACCCUUGAAAGCCGGCCGAUACUGUCGGACUAGAGUCCGGAAGAGGCGAGUGGAAUUCCCGGUGUAGCGGUGAAAUGCGCAGAUAUCGGGAGGAACACCAAUGGCGAAGGCAGCUUGCUGGGACGGUACUGACGCUGAGGCGCGAAAGCGUGGGGAGCGAACAGG
rnacentral:rRNA from 1 species